rnacentral:rRNA from 1 species
GCGGCACAGCUCAAAUUUGAAAUCUGGCCCCUAGGGCCCGAGUUGUAAUUUGCAGAGGAUGCUUUUGGCGCGGUGCCUUCCGAGUUCCCUGGAACGGGACGCCAUAGAGGGUGAGAGCCCCGUCUGGUCGGACACCAAGCCAGUGUAAAGCUCCUUCGACGAGUCGAGUAGUUUGGGAAUGCUGCUCUAAAUGGGAGGUAUAUGUCUUCUAAAGCUAAAUACCGGCCAGAGACCGAUAGCGCACAAGUAGAGUGAUCGAAAGAUGAAAAGCACUUUGAAAAGAGGGUUAAACAGUACGUGAAAUUGUUGAAAGGGAAGCGUUUAUGACCAGACUUGGGCCCGGUGAAUCAUCCAGCGUUCUCGCUGGUGCACUUUGCCGGGCUCAGGCCAGCAUCAGUUCGUCGCGGGGGAUAAAAGCUUCGGGAACGUGGCUCCCUCGGGAGUGUUAUAGCCCGUUGCAUAAUACCCUGCGGUGGACUGAGGUUCGCGCUCCGCAAGGAUGCUGGCGUAAUGGUCAUCAGCGACCCGUCUUGAAACACGGACCAAGGAGUCGUCUUCGUAUGCGAGUGUUCGGGUGUCAAACCCCUACGCGUAAUGAAAGUGAACGCAGGUGAGAGCUUCGGCGCAUCAUCGACCGAUCCUGAUGUUCUCGGAUGGAUUUGAGUAAGAGCAUACGGGGCCGGACCCGAAAGAAGGUGAACUAUGCCUGUAUAGGGUGAAGCCAGAGGAAACUCUGGUGGAGGCUCGCAGCGGUUCUGACGUGC